GUUAAUGCUAUGCUAUUUUAACUUAAUAUUUUGCUAAUACUGUCUCUCUUUUUGUUUUUAUUCUCUGUAUCUUGUCCUUCUUCUUUCCCAAAAGCUCUAGGCUCUAGCUCUACUCCUGCCCUAAGCUACUCCCAACCUGUGUCUGAAGACCUUGGCCGUCCUUUCAGUGAAACUAACGUGGACUGCAUCAACCUGCCCUGUCCUUUCUAGGAAUAAAGACUCUAGGCUCUAGCUCUACUCCUGCCCUAAGCUACUCCCAACCUGUGUCUGAAGACCUUGGCCGUCCUUUCAGUGAAACUAACGUGGACUGCAUCAACCUGCCCUGUCCUUUCUAGGAAUAAAGACUCUAGGCUCUAGCUCUACUCCUGCCCUAAGCUACUCCCAACCUGUGUCUGAAGACCUUGGCCGUCCUUUCAGUGAAACUAACGUGGACUGCAUCAACCUGCCCUGUCCUUUCUAGGAAUAAAGACUCUAGGCUCUAGCUCUACUCCUGCCCUAAGCUACUCCCAACCUGUGUCUGAAGACCUUGGCCGUCCUUUCAGUGAAACUAACGUGGACUGCAUCAACCUGCCCUGUCCUUUCUAGGAAUAAAGACUCUAGGCUCUAGCUCUACUCCUGCCCUAAGCUACUCCCAACCUGUGUCUGAAGACCUUGGCCGUCCUUUCAGUGAAACUAACGUGGACUGCAUCAACCUGCCCUGUCCUUUCUAGGAAUAAAGACUCUAGGCUCUAGCUCUACUCCUGCCCUAAGCUACUCCCAACCUGUGUCUGAAGACCUUGGCCGUCCUUUCAGUGAAACUAACGCGGACUGCAUCAACCUACCCUGUCCAUUCUAGGAAUAAAGAGUAUGUUUGGGCUCCUAUAUUAUUGAUUUGUUUGGCUCCCUUUUG